rnacentral:lncRNA from 1 species
GUUACCUUUUCAAGAAUCAUUCUCUUUUUGGUCUCCAGCUGCUGAACUUUUGCUUUGAUAGGAAAGUAAGAAGUUACUUUCUUGGAAGAGAUCUCAGGACAGAAGCAUCAGCCUUGCACUUACAGAGGGCAAGAUUCUGGUUCAUGUUGUAUGGCAAGGUGGCUAUUUUCCCUGUUUUCUCUUCUUUUCCAUUUUUCCUGGAUUUGUCAACUGGACCCCGACCACCCAGAAUAUACAGUCAAUACUUCACAGCCUUGCUUGAACCUAAGGUUUGACAGUGUAUCUAAAUUUCAGCCUGUUUGAUAUAUUUGAUGCUGUUGAUGAACAAAGUUUACUGUUCAGGGUGCUAUCAGUUUAUGGAAUUUCAGAUCAGAGCACAGAGAUUAGCAUCUUUCUCUCCCACACACCAGCCAUAUCACAUGGGAACACUGCCUCACCUCUUGCUACCACCUGUAAAAUAAGAAUAAUAUAUUCACCUCCUGGGGUGAUUAUGAGGACUGAAAAAAAAUAAUGUUAAUGAAAAACAGUAUUUAAUCUGGCACUUUCCAUGUGCCAGGAUCUGAGUCCACAUAGUCCAUAUCAGAUAUUUAAUAAAUGCCAACACAAAGCUCCCAGCAUCCUACCACACAGUGAAAGCAGUGCUGCCCAGGACUGUCCAAUGCUGCUCAAUGAGUCUAUAGGCAUCUUAGCCCCAGGACUCUGCUCCAUAGGACACGGGUCUGAGUUCACAGGACUUUGUCUUAUGGGACAACCUGUGUGAAAAUAACACUUCUGUGCUCAAAAUAGUUCCUUUCCCACCCUUACCCUGAUAUAUUGUCGAGUUCCUGUUGUGGCUCAGUGGUUAACGAAUCUGACUGGGAAACAUGAGGUUGCAGGUUCGAUCCCUGGCCUUGCUCUGUGGGUUAAGGAUCCGGCGUUGCUGUGAGCUAUGGUGUAGGUUGCAGACUUGGCUCAGAUCCUGAGUUGCUGUGGCUCUGGCGUAGGCCAGUGGCUACAGCUACGAUUAGACCCCUAGCCUGGGAGCCUCUAUGUGCCAUGGGAGCAGCCCUAGAAAAG